UUAAGUUCAGCGGGUAUCCCUACCUGAUCCGAGGUCAACCUUGCGAGUAGGUCUUCCGGCAAACGGGGCCUCGACUUUCAAAGCGAAAGAUUCUGCUACGCUUAAAGCCGGUGCCACGCCGCCGAGCGUUUCGAGGCGCGUCCCAAAGGGGACGUCGCCCAACACCAAGCCCAGGCUUGAGUGGUGAAAUGACGCUCGAA
rnacentral:misc_RNA from 1 species